UUAAUUGCAAAACAAAGUACUUUAUACGUAAAUGCAUUAAGAUCAAAUGUAGUAUGACACACAUUUAUUGAUUUUUCGUGUUUUAGUCUUUUGCAUGUCUUUCAACCAACAAAAGGCAGCAGGUUUGCCUAAUUUAAGAAACUUUGUACCAUUUAAUAAUGAAUCAAUGACAGAGAUAAGUCGUUGUGGUUAUCUGCGGCAUAAAUUUGAAAUACACAGGUCAUGAAUUCACAAAGAUGAACUUUUCGUUUUUAUGUAUUAUUUUAUUGUGAUAUAAAUGGAAACAGACUUUUUUAACUCAGGUUUUUUUAUACGACCGCAAAAAUUUAUUUUGCGUCGUAUAAUGGUAUCAUGUCGUCUGCGUCUGCGUCGUCGUCCAAAGACGCAUUUUGUUUCCGGACAAUAACUUUUGUUCUAGUGAAUGGAUCUAUAUAAUUUAAAAAAUAGGUUUUUCUGGUCAAUGGACAAUAAAGACAAUUUUAAAGCAGUGUAAGGGAUGUAAUUCGGAUCUAUAUAAUUUAAAAAAAUAGGUUUUUUCUGGUCAAUGGACAAUAAAGACAAUUUUAAAGCAGUGUAAGGGAUGUAAUUCAGAAACAUACAAUGUUAGGUAUGUUCUGAUUUACCUCCCUUACACGUGUAAAUUAUGUAUAAAGAAAUGUCAGGUUUUGGACUAAUUGCCAAAAAAGGGGGUAGCAGUUUUCAAUUUUAUCCCCCAA
rnacentral:lncRNA from 1 species